rnacentral:SRP_RNA from 1 species
UCCUUAGACCUAUGCAAUGGGGUAUUAAGCUAAUGCUUCAGGGUGGAAACACAGCAGAGCCGCUUGGUAUCUUGUGUGCCUUAGUCAUCUGAGGGAGG